CUACGGGAUGCACCAGUUAGGGAUAUUCGGCAAUGGGGGAAACCCUGACCGAGCAAUGCCGCGUGAAUGAAGAAGUAUUUCGAUAUGUAAAGUUCUGUUGUUAAGGAAGAAAGGUACGAAUAGGAAAUGAUUCGUAAUUGACGGUACUUAACCAGAAAGCCCCUGCUAACUACGUGCCAGCAGCAGCGGUAAUACGUAGGGGGCGAGCGUUAUCCGGAAUUAUUGGGCGUAAAGGGUGCGUAGGCGGCCUGUCAAGUCCGAGUUGAAAGCCCACGGCUUAACCGUGGAGGGUGCUCGGAAACUGAUAGGCUUGAAUCCAGAAGAGGCAAGUGGAAUUCGAUGUGGAGCGGUGGAAUGCGUAGAUAUAUGGAGGAACACCAGUGGCGAAGGCGGCUUGCUGGGCUGGUAUUGACGCUGAUGCACGAAAGCGUGGGGAGCAAACAGGAUUAGAUACCCGGGUAGUC
rnacentral:rRNA from 1 species